AGUUGUUACAGCCUUUCAAGGAGGGUAAAACAGCGGUGCAGCUGGGGGGGGGGGGGCACUCUCAGCGAGGUACAGCGACAUCCAGCUGGCUUCCACGGUGGGACGCGGAACUUUCCGGGGUCCAAGCAGCACAGCGGGGAAUGAAGAUGUCGCUGUGUAUACAGACCGUCGGCCCCUCCGCCUUCCUCCUUCCCAGCACACUGAGGGGCAAUCGGCAAGCUCCGUCUCGGAGUGGACCAUCAGCGACGGCCAGUCCCCUGCAGGCGGUGCCCCGCUCUGCGCUCUGUCAAGUCCACAGCUCUGAUUCCUGGGCUUCCGCCGAGAGGCUAACACAUUGGAUGGCUGCGUUUCAAAGUCACAACCAGAAAUAAAACGCUCCCUAUUCUCGGGGCGGAGACGGCGGGGAUGCAGGGAAGUGAGGGAGCGAGGCGGGGGUGGGGAGGGUGGUAGUGAAGAAGGGGCCUAAAAUGAUCUGCCGUCUCCUGAACAGGUGCUCUGGGCCCAGCAUUUGAAGGCCCCCUCUCGCCGGCCCCCCGCCCUCCCGCCUAGGGCCCUCGGCUAAGCUGGCGGUGGACAACAGGCCCUUCUGCACCCGUCCGUAGCUCACUUUCUAGUGACAGAGAGGGACAGAAACGGGCUGAGAGGGCUUGGGGAAUUUCCCGGCGCUCCCCUAACAGUGCAUCGAAGUCCCAGAGUUCUUCGGGGAGGAGCCAGGAGGUUUACUGCAUCCUCCGACCUGUGUUUCACGGGGAGAAGAGUUAAGAAGCCUGAGCAUUCUAACGCAGCUGGCGGAGCUUGAGAAAGUGACAAAGGCAGAGCUCGUGUGCGUGGCUCGGGGACUGAUGCCCCGCCUCUGAGCCGGGGACCAGAAAUGUGUCCAUUAAGGGACUGGUAAUGGCUGGGUUUAGCCUGGGACGGUUCCCCCAAGGAGGCGAUUUGAGAGGAGGCUGUAGGUGCCCGGCCUGGGACUGGAAGAGCAGUCCGGGAAGGGCCCAGGGGGCGUGGAGGGCGCUCCCACUGGCCACCUGGGGACAGGAGGCAGCAAAGGCGCCAGCAGCCCUCAGAGAUUCCCGGGGCUGUGAACUGCGCAGGGCCUGUGGCUCCUGGUCCCAGCUACAGUCAGCCAAUAAAAGAUACACGCAGGGGACCCCUUCCCCCCCCCCCCCUCCCCCGCCCCCGGAGCCAAUGGAAACCUACCCGCCGGCGGAGGAAUUGCCACCGGCCUGCGGAGGAAACAUUUUCGGACACCUGGCCAAGAGGCUUCCCUUGGGGGUUGCCUUUCCAGGAGCCCAGGACAGGUGUGUAUGAAGGACCAAAAUACCAGGAGCGUGUUCAAUUAGUCAUUCUUUUGGAUCAGAGCGCCUGCUGCUUGUAAAGCCACACACACGCCAUUACAAACUGUGAGUGGGCGAAGAGCAAAGGCAAGAGGGCAGAGGGGAAGAAACGUGCUUCCUGCCCUGAGCAUCUUAGAGGGGCCUUUCCCCCUGUUGUAUGUCCUGCAUCAUGUUCCCUGCUGUAAAGGUUAGCGUCUUGUAUUUGUGUAAUGCUUUACAGUUUCAGACUGUAUGAUUUAUCUGGUAAGCACUGUAACCUAUAAGACAGGUAUUAUUACUCAUGUUUGACCAGCAGAGGAAGUGAUGCUCAGAUUAGCUAAACCCUACACCCAAAGUGAUACUGCCGUUAGUGAUGGCUGUGGGACUAGUACUCAGUGUUGUGGCUGCAAAUCCAGGGCUCUUUAAAUACAUCAAAGGAAGGAAAGCAGGCCUGCUCUAUGAUUCUGGCGCCCAGGACACACCCAACAGUUAGAAUGAAAUCCAGAAGGACUAGGUUAAUUUCUUAGUCAUUGCUCCUUCAGAUCGUCCCCUUGCAACACAGGUGAGCUCCAGUAUUAUACACCUGUGUGUGAAGAAGGGGUUCCAUUGACUCGCUGCCAGGAAAGCCAGUCCUGAAGGUAAGAACAGAACGGGGGGAUGAACACGGGUCACCAGCUGUGGCUCCCUUCCUUAUCCACACUUAAUAGUGCCUGAGAAUGAGCAGAAGGACAGCUCCACUCACGAGAGCCCAAAAGGGAAGGAAAAGCACUGAUGGUAGGAAAAUGCUGUGUCGUGUGUAAGACCUUGGAGGAAUAUAGGGUAGGGAACUGAGAAUGGGUGGGAACUUUUUUUCACUAAAAUAAAAUGAAAGAGUCAGUACUCUAAACCGAGAUAAGGUCAGUGGCUUACAUUUACAUGACUUCCAUUCUGACCAAUGGACCAUGUUUGCUUCAUUUCCUUACUCUCUAGACGUGCACUGUUCCUACAGUAGCCACUAGCCGUGUGUGUAUGCUGAGCCCUGAAAUGUGGCUAGUCCAAAUCGAAAUGUGCUGUCCAUGUAAGAGUCACACUGGAUUUGCAAGACUUGGGAAAAGUAACAGCUUACUGACACCUUUAACACUGAUUAUGCCUUAAGAGAAUAUUGGGGAUCCACUGAAUUAAAAUCAAAUACAUUAUUAAAAUUAGUUUCAUCUGUGUUUCACUUGUUUUCAUGUGGCUCCUAGAAAAUUUUAAAUUGCAUACAUGGUUUGUGGGGGCUGAGAACGUUCUUGAUCUGGGUGACAGAGAUUUAUGGAUAUGUGCGUAGGUGUUCAUUUCAUCCAACUGUGCCCUUAAACCUUGUGUACUGUACUGCUAUAUGUUAAUAAAAAUCCGUUUAAAAAAUUUAAAAA